rnacentral:rRNA from 1 species
AACGAACGCUGGCGGCAUGCCUAACACAUGCAAGUCGAACGAGGCCCUUCGGGGUUUAGUGGCGCACGGGUGCGUAACGCGUGGGAAUCUGCCCUUUGGUUCGGAAUAACAGCUGGAAACGGCUGCUAAUACCGGAUGAUGACGAGAGUCCAAAGAUUUAUCGCCAGAGGAUGAGCCCGCGUUGGAUUAGGUAGUUGGUGGGGUAAAGGCCUACCAAGCCGACGAUCCAUAGCUGGUCUGAGAGGAUGAUCAGCCACACUGGGACUGAGACACGGCCCAGACUCCUACGGGAGGCAGCAGUGGGGAAUAUUGGACAAUGGGCGCAAGCCUGAUCCAGCAAUGCCGCGUGAGUGAUGAAGGCCCUAGGGAUGUAAAGCUCUUUUACCCGGGAAGAUAAUGACUGUACCGGGAGAAUAAGCCCCGGCUAACUCCGUGCCAGCAAAG